UUCAGAUUGCAGGCUGCAACUCGCCUGCAUGAAGUCGGAAUUGCUAGUAAUCGCAGAUCAGCAUGCUGCGGUGAAUACGUUCCCGGGCCUUGUACACACCGCCCGUCACACCAUGGGAGUCGGUAACACCCGAAGUCGGUAGCCUAACCGUAAGGAGGGCGCCGCCGAAGGUGGGAUUGAUGACUGGGGUGAAGUCGUAACAAGGUACC
rnacentral:rRNA from 1 species